rnacentral:rRNA from 1 species
GACGAACGCUGGCGGCGUGCCUAAUACAUGCAAGUCGAACGCAGUGGGGACGGGUGAGUAACACGUGGGUAACCUCCCCUCAGAGGGGAUAACACUUGGAAACAGGUGCUAAACCGAUACUGAUGGAUGGACCCGCGGUGCAUUAGCUAGUUGGUGAGGUAACGGCUCACCAAGGCAACGAUGCAUAGGCGACCUGGAGGGGGAGUCGGCCACACUGGGACGGGACAAGGGCCCGAACUCCUACGGGAGGAGGAGGUGGGAAAUCUGCGGCAUGGGACGAAGGUCGAACCGGGCAACGCCGCGUGAGUGAAGAAGGUUUUCGGAUCGAAAAACUCUGUUGUUAGAGAAGCGGUAUCUAACCAGAAGGCCAGGGCUAACUACGGGCCAGCAGCCGCGGUAUAC